GAUUAUCCUCAGAGGUGCAGUGAGCUGAACGAUGCAGAGAGCAGUCUAGAAGGGGACUAUGACGUUUUACCCGUUAGAAACAAAAUAUGUGAGCCGAGCAUUUCAGCAGAGAUGGAUGAGAACAUCUAUGACUUCCCUCAGUCCUACAGGACUUCAGCCCAGCCUCAGGACCUCACAGAGAGCAUCUAUGACGUACCGAGCUGUCUUCUGAGGAAGAUGCCUGAAGAAAAAACAGAUGAGCAGCUGGAGGAAGAACCGAGCUGGAAGGCGGCGAUGGAGGACGGCAGCAGCACAUGUAGCUCACAGAACAUUUAACUCUUUCACUCUUUGUACACAAGUUUCCACUUAAUGUCCCAGAGGUUCAGGUUCGAGUCAGAAAAAGUGUAUUUAUGCAGCAGAUACAGCAAGUAAAUAAUUCUUAUUUG